AUUGAACGCUGGCGGCAUGCCUUACACAUGCAAGUCGAACGGUAACAGGUCUUCGGAUGCUGACGAGUGGCGAACGGGUGAGUAAUACAUCGGAACGUGCCCGAUCGUGGGGGAUAACGAAGCGAAAGCUUUGCUAAUACCGCAUAAGAUCUACGGAUGAAAGCAGGGGACCGCAAGGCCUUGCGCGAACGGAGCGGCCGAUGGCAGAUUAGGUAGGUGGUGGGAUAAAAGCUUACCAAGCCGACGAUCUGUAGCUGGUCUGAGAGGACGACCAGCCAAACUGGGACUGAGACACGGCCCAGACUCCUACGGGAGGCAGCAGUGGGGAAUUUUGGACAAUGGGCGAAAGCCUGAUCCAGCCAUGCCGCGUGCAGGAUGAAGGCCUUCGGGUUGUAAACUGCUUUUGUACGGAACGAAAAGACUCUGGUUAAUACCUGGGGUCCAUGACGGUACCGUAAGAAUAAGCACCGGCUAACUACGUGCCAGCCGCCGCGGUAAUAC
rnacentral:rRNA from 1 species